rnacentral:rRNA from 1 species
UGGGGAAUUUUGGACAAUGGGCGCAAGCCUGAUCCAGCAAUGCCGCGUGUGUGAAGAAGGCCUUCGGGUUGUAAAGCACUUUUGUCCGGAAAGAAAUCCGUCUGGCUAAUACCCGGACGGGAUGACGGUACCGGAAGAAUAAGCACCGGCUAACUACGUGCCAGCAGCCGCGGUAAUACGUAGGGUGCGAGCGUUAUCCGGAUUUACUGGGCGUAAAGCGUGCGCAGGCGGUUUUGUAAGACAGAGGUGAAAUCCCCGGGCUCAACCUGGGAACUGCCUUUGUGACUGCAAGGCUGGAGUGCGGCAGAGGGGGAUGGAAUUCCGCGUGUAGCAGUGAAAUGCGUAGAUAUGCGGAGGAACACCGAUGGCGAAGGCAAUCCCCUGGGCCUGCACUGACGCUCAUGCACGAAAGCGUGGGGAGCAAACA